GCCGGGCACGGUGGCACACGCCUGUAAUCCCGGUGGCUCCGGAGGCAGAGGCAGGAGGAUCGCAAGUUCAAAGCCAGCCUCAGCAAUUUACUAAGGUGGUAAGCAACUCAGUGAGAACCUGUCUCUA
rnacentral:sRNA from 1 species